rnacentral:rRNA from 1 species
UGUACCUACGGGGCGCAGCAGUGGGGAAUAUUGCGCAAUGGGCGAAAGCCUGACGCAGCGACGCCGCGUGAGGGAUGAAGGUCUUCGGAUCGUAAACCUCUGUCAGCAGGGAAGAACGGUCACUGUGCUAAUCAGCAGUGAAUUGACGGUACCUGCAAAGAAGCCCCGGCUAACUACGUGCCAGCAGCCGCGGUAAUACGUAGGGGGCAAGCGUUAUCCGGAUUUACUGGGUGUAAAGGGAGCGUAGACGGCAUAGCAAGUCUGAAGUGAAAGCCCGUGGCUCAACCGCGGAACUGCUUUGGAAA